GGAUGCGAUCAUACCAUUACUAAUGCACCUGUUCGCAUCAGAACUACGAAGUUAAGUAUGCUUGGGCGAGAGUAGUACAAGGAUGGGUGACCCCCAACAAGGAAGUCCUAUUGUUGCAUCCU
rnacentral:rRNA from 1 species